rnacentral:rRNA from 1 species
GACGAACGCUGGCGGCGUGCUUAACACAUGCAAGUCGAACGGAAAGGCCCUGCUUUUGUGGGGUGCUCGAGUGGCGAACGGGUGAGUAACACGUGAGUAACCUGCCCUUGACUUUGGGAUAACUUCAGGAAACUGGGGCUAAUACCGGAUAGGAGCUCCUGCUGCAUGGUGGGGGUUGGAAAGUUUCGGCGGUUGGGGAUGGACUCGCGGCUUAUCAGCUUGUUGGUGGGGUAGUGGCUUACCAAGGCUUUGACGGGUAGCCGGCCUGAGAGGGUGACCGGCCACAUUGGGACUGAGAUACGGCCCAGACUCCUACGGGAGGCAGCAGUGCGGAAUAUUGCACAAUGGGCGGAAGCCUGAUGCAGCAACGCCGCGUGCGGGAUGACGGCCUUCGGGUUGUAAACCGCUUUCGCCUGUGACGAAGCGUGAGUGACGGUAAUGGGUAAAGAAGCACCGGCUAACUACGUG